rnacentral:rRNA from 1 species
AGAGUUUGAUCCUGGCUCAGGACGAACGCUGGCGGCGGGCCUAACACAUGCAAGUCAAACGAGCAGUCCUUCGGGAUGGGCGAGUGGCGCACGGGUGAGUAACACGUAGAGAAUCUACCCUUAAGUGGGGAAUAACCACUGGAAACGGUGGCUAAUACCGCAUAUUGACUUUAUAUCACAUGAUAUUUAGUUGAAAGCCUUUGGGUGCUUAAGGAUGACUCUGCGGCGGAUUAGCUAGUUGGUGAGGUAAUGGCUCACCAAGGCGACGAUCCGUAGCUGGUCUGAGAGGAUGAUCAGCCACACUGGCACUGACACACGGGCCAGACUCCUACGGGAGGCAGCAGUGAGGAAUAUUGGACAAUGGACGAAAGUCUGAUCCAGCCACGCCGCGUGCAGGAUGAAGUCCCUCUGGGGCGUAAACUGCUUUUAUAUGGGAAUAAAAAAAUGGUCGCCAUUAUUGAAGGUACCAUAUGAAUAAGCACCGGCUAACUACGUGCCAGCAGCCGCGGUAAUACGUAGGGUGCAAGCGUUGUCCGGAAUCAUUGGGUGUAAAGGGUGCGUAGGCGGAUUGGUAAGUCAGAGGUGAAAGCCCGUAGCUCAACUACGGAAUUGCCUUUGAUACUGCCAGUCUUGAGUCCUGGAGAGGUUACUGGAAUUCGUGGUGUAGCAGUGAAAUGCGUAGAUAUCACGAGGAAUACCCGAAGCGUAGGCGAGUAACUGGACAGGCACUGACGCUCAGGCACGAAAGCGUGGGGAGCAAACAGGAUUAGAUACCCUGGUAGUCCACGCUGUAAACGAUGAACACUCGACGUUGGCUCUGUAUAGGGUCAGUGUCUAAGCUAACGCGUUAAGUGUUCCACCUGGGGAGUACGAUCGCAAGGUUGAAACUCAAAGGAAUUGACGGGGGCC